CUAUGUCUAGUCGUAAACUUUAAAUUACACCUAAAUCGCCUGGGAACUACGAGCAAAGCUUAAAACCCAAAGGACUUGACGGUACCCCACAUCCACCUAGAGGAGCCUGUCCUAUAAUCGAUAAUCCCCGCUAAACCUCACCAUUUUUAGCCAAUCAGCCUGUAUACCUCCGUCGUCAGCUUACCACGUGAGCGCAAUUUAGUAAGCUCAAUGUCCCUACAUCAACACGUCAGGUCAAGGUGCAGCAAAUAAAAUGGAAAGAGAUGGGCUACACUUUCUAUCUUAGAAUAUACGAAAGACUACUUAUGAAAUCUAGUCAGAAGGCGGAUUUAGUA
rnacentral:rRNA from 1 species